rnacentral:misc_RNA from 1 species
AGAAAUCUCAAGAUCGAGAAAGGAGAAAAUUGUUAGCAAAUCAGAUUUCACAAUGUCAGCAGCUUCAACAAUGGCGGUUAUGGGAGCAUCAAGCUCGUGGUCGAGAGCUUUGAUACAGAUCUCACCUUACACUUUCUCUGCUGUCGGAAUUGCCAUUGCUAUUGGUGUCUCUGUUCUUGGCGCCGCUUGGGGGAUUUACAUUACUGGAAGUAGUCUGAUUGGUGCUGCAAUCAAAGCUCCUCGCAUCACCUCCAAGAAUCUUAUUAGUGUGAUUUUCUGUGAAGCCGUUGCUAUCUAUGGUGUUAUUGUGGCAAUUAUUCUGCAAACUAAAUUAGAGAGUGUCCCAGCAUCAAAGAUAUAUGCAGCAGAGUCCCUUCGAGCAGGAUAUGCAAUAUUUGCCUCUGGAAUAAUUGUGGGCUUUGCCAACCUUGUUUGCGGGCUCUGCGUAGGGAUUAUUGGUAGCAGUUGCGCAUUGUCAGAUGCACAAAAUUCCACCCUUUUCGUCAAGAUUCUUGUGAUUGAGAUUUUUGGCAGUGCACUGGGAUUGUUUGGAGUGAUUGUGGGAAUAAUCAUGUCAGCUCAAGCAACAUGGCCUUCUAAAACAGCAUGAUCGCGUACUUCGGCUUUCUUUGUGCUGCCAUUUGGAAGCUGUAUUUGCUCUCUUGCCAAUAGUUUAUUGUUUUUGUAGGAGUAUUAAUUGAAGAGGUUCUUGGUUCUCCCAUUGUAUUUGCAUAAAUGAAAUCGACAUAAGCUAGGCCAUGUCUGACCUGCAACCGAUAUGUCAUUUACACUGUUGUAUUAUUACUUCACUAGAACUGAAGAAACAUGAAGGAGUCGCAGUUAUUUUUUUUCCUGGAGAGUGCUGCGUGUACUUAUUCUCAGCAAAGGAAUAUUGUUUGUACGCG